AGAGCGAACGCUGGCGGCAGGCCUAAUACAUGCAAGUCGAACGGACCCUUCGGGGUUAGUGGCGGACGGGUGAGUAACACGUGGGAACGUGCCCUUUGGUUCGGAACAACUCAGGGAAACUUGAGCUAAUACCGAAUGUGCCCCCACCCUUAAACAAGAUGGGUGGGAAAGAUUUAUCGCCAUUGGAGCGGCCCGCGUCUGAUUAGCUAGUUGGUGAGGUAAAGGCUCACCAAGGCGACGAUCAGUAGCUGGUCUGAGAGGAUGAUCAGCCACACUGGAACUGAGACACGGUCCAGACUCCUACGGGAGGCAGCAGUGGGGAAUAUUGGACAAUGGGGGCAACCCUGAUCCAGCCAUGCCGCGUGGGUGAAGAAGGUCUUCGGAUUGUAAAGCACUUUCGACGGGGACGAUAAUGACGGUACCCGUAGAAGAAGCCCCGGCUAACUUCGUGCCAGCAGCCGC
rnacentral:rRNA from 1 species